rnacentral:rRNA from 1 species
UACGUAGGGGCCGAGCGUUGUCCGGAAUUACUGGGCGUAAAGCAUGCGCAGGCGGUUUUGUAAGCCAGAUGUGAAAUCCCCGGGCUUAACCUGGGAAUGGCAUUUGGGACUGCAAGGCUGGAGUGUGGCAGAGGAGACUGGAAUUCCUGGUGUAGCAGUGAAAUGCGUAGAUAUCAGGAGGAAUACCGAUGGCGAAGGCAGGUCUCUGGGCUGACACUGACGCUCAUGCACGAAAGCGUGGGGAGCAAACAGG